CCUACGGGUGACAGCAGUAGGGAAUAUUGCUCAAUGGGGGAAACCCUGAAGCAGCAACGCCGCGUGGAGGAUGAAGGUUUUCGGAUUGUAAACCCCUUUUGUUAGAGAAGAAAAUGACGGUAUCUAACGAAUAAGCACCGGCUAACUCCGUGCCAGCAGCCGCGGUAAUACGGAGGGGGCAAGCGUUACUCGGAUUUACUGGGCGUAAAGAGCGCGUAGGCGGGAUAGCAAGUCAGAUGUGAAAUCCUAUGGCUUAACCAUAGAACUGCAUUUGAAACUGUUAGUCUAGAGUAUGGGAGAGGUAGGUGGAAUUCGUGGUGUAGGGGUAAAAUGCGUAGAGAUUAAGAGGAAUACCAGUGGCGAAGGCGGCCUGCUGGAAGAUAACUGACGUUGAGGCUCGAAAGCGUGGGGAGCAAACAGGAUUAGAUACCCCUGGAGUC
rnacentral:rRNA from 1 species